rnacentral:rRNA from 1 species
GACGAACGCUGGCGGCGUGCUUAACACAUGCAAGUCGAACGAAAAGAGGGAAAGAGCUUGCUCUUUCCGGAAUUGAGUGGCAAACGGGUGAGUAACACGUAAACAACCUGCCUUCAGGAUGGGGAUAACAGACGGAAACGACUGCUAAUACCGAAUAAGUUCCAAGAGCCGCAUGGCCCAUGGAAGAAAAGGUGGCCUCUACCUGUAAGCUAUCGCCUGAAGAGGGGUUUGCGUCUGAUUAGCCGGUUGGAGGGGUAACGGCCCACCAAGGCGACGAACAGUAGCCGGUCUGAGAGGAUGAACGGCCACACUGGAACUGAGACACGGUCCAGACUCCUACGGGAGGCAGCAGUGGGGAAUCUUCCGCAAUGGGCGAAAGCCUGACGGAGCAACGCCGCGUGAGUGAUGACGGCCUUCGGGUUGUAAAACUCUGUGAUCCGGGACGAAAAGGCAGAGUGCGAAGGACAAACUGCAUUGACGGUACCGGAAAAGCAAGCCACGGGCUAA